CUUGAAAGAUUCUUGUUUUUAUCAUAUUUUCAACCGUCAUUUCUACGUCUUUCUUCUUCUUCUCCUCCAAAUUCUCUAGUUGUCUUCACCCAAUCUUCUCCGACUAUUAUCUUCCGUCAAUAUCUUUAUAAUUGAUAUGGAUGUUUGGAAUUGCAAUGAUUUGGUUCCCUUUUUCUAUUCAUAUGUCAUAUAAUUUUUUAUCGUCUAUUCUAUCAAAGAUAGAAGUUAUAGUUUUCAGUUACCAAAAUUUUUUAUCGUAUAUCCGGAUAUGUUUUCUUUAUUUUUUUAAAAUGGCAAGAGUUAUUAAGCACUCAAUUUUUUGGUGUUCCGAAAAUUUUCGCGCGUGAAAGAGCUUCUUCCCACUGGCGCUCUUUUCCCAACUCUCAAACGACAAAGCACGUAGCACCUUGCUCUAGCGCGAAGUGCCGUCAUCGAUUCCUUGUCGCGAAACUCACUCUUGUUCCAAGUCCGAGCCAAGAGUUGAAGUUACAAGAUGCGGAGUGGGAGUUCUAUGUUUAAGAACCAACUGGUUAGUGUUAGGGUUAGCGAAGAUGAAUUCAUUGAAGAAGAGGAAACAGAAGAUGAAGGGGCGAGCUCUUCAUACUUCGACGAUGAGUGGUCAUUCUUAUAUCUAAAUAAGAAGUCUGAUAGGAAGUUGACUUUGCUUGACGAUUACGAGAUGGAGGAGCUUGGAUAUAUCUGCGACCGUAAUCAUAGAAGUGGAUAUACGGCCUUGAUAGGGAAGCCGAAUGUUGGGAAGAGCACACUUGUAAACCAAUUGAUAGGACAAAAGUUGUCCAUUGUUACGGACAAACCUCAAACGACGAGGCAGUAGAUUCUGGGUAUAUGUUCUGGGCCAGAGUAUCAGAUUUUAUAUUACUCAUUAUGGAUUAGAAGGAUUCUGUUAAGGGCAUAUAGUUGUUAGCAAUUAGACUUUGAAAAAGGUGAAAAUGCAUCAUUUUUAAUAUUUGGGUUAUUGGGAUAUCUAAUCAUUAAUGUUAUGAAUGUUUUCAAUCUUCAUAUUUUCUCUUCAAGAUCCUUGACAUUACUUGGCUUUCACCAUUUUCCUAUUACAAAUUUUGUGUGUUUGUCUUAAAGAUCUGAGGUAAGUAGUUAUUUUAACUACAAUUUGGGUUAGAGAGUUCCAUAAAUCUCAACUCCGGGGAAUUGAAAUUUAAAGAAACAUGUCUAUUUUCUUCUUUCUCGUAUUCUUUAAAUGUUGCUAUUAUCAUAAUUACCAUGUAUUUUCUGAAUUUUCUCCUAAGAAAAAUUGGAUAUGGUAUAUAAUAUUAAAUUAUGAUUGAGUUAGUGAGAUGGGAAGGAAAAAAACCCAAAAGGAGAUUACAAUAACCUCCUUCAAUUGAUUGAAAAGUUUAUUUAUGCCAUAGUUGAGUUAUCUUUGUUGUUGAUAAGCCUUUUGUGUCAUAGUUUGAGUUUGUUUAUGCCAGAUAUUUUUGGUACUAGGGAAGCCAGAGCAUUGGGAGAUGAGGAAGAGCAAGAAGAGAUUGAUGAAUCUGGUAUCCCUUUAUUACCUCCUUAAAUUAUCCAAACUUCUAGUACUAAAGUUGUCUUGUUACCUGUUGGUGGUGGUUGUAAGUUGAGAUUAAAUGAAACAAGAAUUUAUCUAAUUAAUUUCAUUUGAGUGAAAUGAAAUCAAAAGAUUUGAUUAUUCAUUUGUGCAUAUAGACGGUUAAGAAAGUGUUAUGCCCUGUUGCUAUAUUUUUGUUGUUUCUUUUUGUUCUUCCGUACUCUAAGUUUGCAAUCAUUAAUAACCGUUGUUGGAUAUAGUUUGUGCCUUAAGUAGAGCAAACUAUAUGUAAAGGCUGAAGACACCUUUUUUCUGGGGAUACUGUUGAUUUGAUUAUUCAUUUGUGCAUAUAGACGGUUAAGAAAGUGCAUUAGACCAAAUAUUAUUUUAAGUGCUUACAAGUGUUUAUAAGUUAAAUCUACUUUAACUUUAUUGUUUAUUUUCAGAUCCUUAGAAUCCUACAUAUUUUACUUUAGAAUAAUUGUAUUCUUAAAAUUUGUUUCUAAUUGUGAAGAGUGAGAAAGGUGCAGAAAUCGUUACCAUAGACAAUCUUAGGUACAUCAAUAAAGCUUUUUGUCCCUCUUAAAUAAACCGUUACCAUAGGAAAUUGUUAUUAUCCUUAUAGAUACAAUGCAACCCCAGCUUUACAUAGAAAAAUGAAGGAGGGAAGUUAAAUGAAGGUGGAAGUUAUUCAAAGUUGAAGGCCCAGUUGCAGGUAUGAUUUUUCUUCUUGGAGAAUGUCCAUAUUAUUUAAGUUCUUCUUUCUUGGAUGAAUUUUGUAAUGUAAAAAACAUUCUUGUUAUAUGGGGUUGUUCAUAUAUUCUUCUAACUUAGAAAUCUUGAUCUUCAUGAGGUUGUAAGUUACAUAUUGAUGAAAAUUUAGGUUGUCCAUAUAUUUUUCUAUGGUGUGCUACUUAGAUAUCCUUUGUUCCAUAAAGUUUAGGUUUGUUAUUUUCUUGAUUGAGGAGGAGAUUACCAUUGCAAAUGUGGAAUUGGAUUGGAUGCAGGUGUUAUCCCAAAACAUUCCAAUUGAAGGUUGAUUGCUGAACUGGUGGAAGAAUUUUGUGAAGCUCAAAUUAUUAGAUUCUUCAAUGAUUUAAUCUACUAAUGUGAAUGAAAUUGAAGACUUCAAGGAAAUUGACUUUGUUCGAGGAAGUGAAAUUUGGAUUAAGAAUUGUAGGAUUGUUUAUUGGGAUUUUAAGUCUUGAUGGUCUCGAGUUCAAGAUUGCCCUAUGUUUAAUUUAGAUGGAAAAGUUCAAAGAAGUUUAUUCACGAUGUGAACCUUAGAUGCUUCUUUACAAAUAUUUAGCUAAAUGUUUGUUUUCCUUCAUAGUGUUAGGCUAAAUGACUAAUUUUGGAAUUGUUCAUUCUUUUUAGAAUUGUUCAUAUGGGUUGUUCA